AACGAACGCUGGCGGCAUGCCUAACACAUGCAAGUCGAACGAGACCUUCGGGUCUAGUGGCGCACGGGUGCGUAACGCGUGGGAACCUGCCCUUAGGUUCGGAAUAACUCCCCGAAAGGGGUGCUAAUACCGGAUAAUGUCUUCGGACCAAAGAUUUAUCGCCCUUGGAUGGGCCCGCGUUGGAUUAGCUAGUUGGUAGGGUAAAAGCCUACCAAGGCGACGAUCCAUAGCUGGUCUGAGAGGAUGAUCAGCCACACUGGGACUGGGACACGGCCCAGAAUCCUACGGGAGGCAGCAGUGCUGAAUAGUGGACAGCGGGCGAAAGGCUGAUGCAGCAAGGCCGCGUGAGUGAUGAAGUCCUGAGGGUUGUAAAGCGCUUUUACCCGGGAUGAUAAUGACAGUACCGGGAGAAUAAGCUCCGGCUAACUACGUG
rnacentral:rRNA from 1 species